AAAAGACUAGAAGAAGAACCCAUCUUCUUCAAUUCUCCUUCCUUUGCCGUGAACCAAAAAAAAAAUUCUCAUUCUCCAUCUUUUCUCUUCUACACCAAAUUUUUUCAAAUUUCCACUUCCAAUCAUUUACCCAUUUUCUCCCAACGCCUUUCCAAAGUAGAAUUUGAAGAAAAGAAGAGGAAUUAAAGAGAAAAUUCAAGGUUGAGGAAGGGUGAAUAGUAAUAAAGUGUUGAAAAAUUUAAAGGUAUGUUAGGGGUUUUGCUGUAGGAAUAUUUCUUAUCAUUUUUAUGUGAAUAUUUAUGAAGAAUAUUGUAUUAAUAUGAUUUAUUUAUUUAUUUUUCAUGAAGAAGAAUGGAAGGGAAGAGUGGAAACUCUAAAGGGAAAGGAAAUGAAUAUUAGAAAAUUUUAAGCUAGAAAAUUUUAAGCUAGAAAAUUUUAAGCUUGUGGAAGAUUUUGGAAGGUUUAAGGUUUGUGCUCAACUUUAUUUGAAUAAAUUCAAUAAUUUGUUAAUUGGGUUUUAUUUGAAAAUUUUACUAUCUUAGUAAAACUAGAUCAAGUGAAUAAUAUUUUAGUUAUAUAGCAUGAUUAAAGUUUAAAGAAAUGAUAAAAUUUUGAAAUUAAUAUAUAAUUUGAGCAAAACUCAAGUUAUGGAUCAAGUGGAAUGUCUCUACUUUCUUUGAUGGGAUGUAAUUUGGCUAAGAUAUAAUAAUAAAAAAAAUAUUAGUCUAAAUAAAGAAUACUACUUUUUAUAUGUUAAACGUUGUAAAUUAGUUAAAUUAUGGUUGAAAGGAAGUUGUUGGAUAAAAAUAAAAAUUAAAAGAAAAAGAGAAAUAAAAUAUGGUGUAUCGUGAUAAAUAGAAAAAGAUAUUAGAUUAUAAAAAAAUAGUAAUAAUAAAAAUAAUAAUAGUUAAUUAAUUAAGGAUUAAAUUAUGAAUUUGUAAUUUAUGUAGUUGAAUUAAAUUAAUAGAUUUAUAUGAUAUGACAAUGUUUAAAAGCAGAGUUGUAAUAUGAUAAAAUAUUAUAGUUUGAAUAAUUGAAAGUUACACUGUAUUGAAAGUUUUUGUCCCCAUAUUUAAAUGUAUAAAUUAUUUAAAGUCUGACCCUAACAAGUUUGGUGGGAAUUGUGAGUUAGUUUAAGGGUGUGGCAUGCCAUAUACAGAUCUUGCAGUACUGCGCUACAGUUACACUGAUUGGUACCCUACAGGUAUGGCUGAUAUACUUUACCGCUACAGUUAUAGACUCUUUUGAGUCAUAACACUUUGUGCCCUAUAGAUAUAGUUUCCUUAUCUGAUUUAACAGUCCUAUUUAAAUUUAUAGGAGGCAAAAAGAAAAUAAAAAUAAUAAAUAAAAGUAUUAAGAGAAAAUAAAACUUUUGACAUGAUGAAGAAAAAGAAAAAGACUAUGAAAUUAAAAUCUAUAUAUAUGUGAAAUAAUAAUAUGAUUUAGAAUUAUUUCAAAUUAUUAGUUAUAUAGUUUAUUAUCAUUUGUUUGACUUAUGGUUAAUAAAUAAAUUUUGAUUUAAAUGUUUUAUUUAAAAAAAAAUUGAUUGACCACCACUAAAUAAUUUACUUAGCGCGUAGGAAUUUAUUUUUUCCCGCGCAAGUUGUAGAUCCAAGGAGCAAUAGAUCAAUAUCUGCAUCAACUCAGUCAGAGUUACAUCAUUACUAUCGUGCAUGCACAGGUUAAGCCUUGGAAUGAAGAAAAGUUUUAUGUUUUUACAGAAAAUGUAUGAUCAUGUAUGAGAUUUCACAGGUACACAGACAGGAUAGCAGGCUUACUACGAGUCCCGGCGACCUUAAGUCGAUCUGGAUCCUAGUGCCGGUGGCAGUUCGGUUUCCGGGCUGUUACAUGGAUAUAUUUUGUAAAUUUUAUAUAAAACUAAUUUUGGAAAUAUGGCAUGUACAUAAAGUUUUAGAGAUAAAGUUGUAUAUGGUUUGAAUUAGAUAUAUUUGAAAAUUUUAAUUUUGGUGUAAAUAUGGGUUAUUAGUAUAAGUUUUUGUGUUAAGAUUAAUAAGAUAGUUU
rnacentral:lncRNA from 1 species